GGGUCAGUAGGUUGGUCGUGCCACCGGUACGUACUGGUCUCACUGAUUCCUCCCUCCUGAAGAACCGUAAUGCCAUUAAUUUGGUGUUGCGGGGAAACAGGACCGUUACUUUGAAAAAAUUAGAGUGUUUAAAGCAAGCUAACGCUUGAAUACAUUAGCAUGGAAUAAUGAAAUAGGACGAUCGAUCCUAUUUUGUUGGUUUCUAGGAUUGACGUA
rnacentral:rRNA from 1 species